rnacentral:rRNA from 1 species
CGGAAUGAAAAAUUUGGGGAGGUGAGUGGCGGACGGGUGAGUAACGCGUGGGUAACCUGCCUCAUACAGGGGGAUAACAGUUAGAAAUGACUGCUAAUACCGCAUAAGACCACAGCACCGCAUGGUGCAGGGGUAAAAACUCCGGUGGUAUGAGAUGGACCCGCGUCUGAUUAGGUAGUUGGUGGGGUAACGGCCUACCAAGCCGACGAUCAGUAGCCGACCUGAGAGGGUGACCGGCCACAUUGGGACUGAGACACGGCCCAAACUCCUACGGGAGGCAGCAGUGGGGAAUAUUGCACAAUGGGGGAAACCCUGAUGCAGCGACGCCGCGUGAGCGAUGAAGUAUUUCGGUAUGUAAAGCUCUAUCAGCAGGGAAGAAAAUGACGGUACCUGACUAAGAAGCACCGGCUAAAUACGUGCCAGCAGCCGCGGUAAUACGUAUGGUGCAAGCGUUAUCCGGAUUUACUGGGUGUAAAGGGAGCGUAGACGGAGUGGCAAGUCUGAUGUGAAACCCGGGGCUCAACCCCGGGACUGCAUU